rnacentral:rRNA from 1 species
GAGUUUGAUCCUGGCUCAGAUUGAACGCUGGCGGCAUGCCUUACACAUGCAAGUCGAACGGCAGCACGGGAGCUUGCUCCUGGUGGCGAGUGGCGAACGGGUGAGUAAUGCAUCGGAACGUAUCCUGGAGUGGGGGAUAACGUAGCGAAAGUUACGCUAAUACCGCAUAUUCUGUGAGCAGGAAAGCGGGGGACCUUCGGGCCUCGCGCUCUUGGAGCGGCCGAUGUCGGAUUAGCUAGUUGGUGAGGUAAAGGCUCACCAAGGCGACGAUCCGUAGCAGGUCUGAGAGGAUGAUCUGCCACACUGGAACUGAGACACGGUCCAGACUCCUACGGGAGGCAGCAGUGGGAAUUUUGGACAAUGGGGGCAACCCUGAUCCAGCCAUGCCGCGUGAGUGAAGAAGGCCUCGGUG